rnacentral:rRNA from 1 species
CCUACGGGUGGCAGCAGUGGGGAAUAUUGGACAAUGGGGGGAACCCUGAUCCAGCGACGCCGCGUGAGUGAAGAAGUCUUUCGGUUUGUAAAGCUCUAUCAGCAGGGAAGAAAAUGACGGUACUUGACUAAGACGCCCCGGCUAACUACGUCCCAGCAGCCGCGGUAAUACGGAGGGGGCAAGCGUUAUCCGGAUUUACUGGGUGUAAAGGGAGCGUAGUCGGUGCAGCAAGUCUGAUGUGAAAGGUCGGGGCCCAACCCCGGGACUGCAUUGGAAACUGUUGAACUGGAGUGCAGGAGAGGUAAGCGGAAUUCCUAGUGUAGCGGUGAAAUGCGUAGAUAUUAGGAGGAACACCAGUGGCGAAGGCGGCUUACUGGACUGUAACUGACGUUGAGGCUCGAAAGCGUGGGGAGCAAACAGGAUUAGAUACCCGUGUAGUC